rnacentral:sRNA from 1 species
GUCUACUCCUGAUAGUAGUGGUAUCCUGUUAUUGCGAAACUGAUUAUCUUUGUUAGAUUGCAUCGUUCCUCGCAAUGACAGAUAAAACGAAUAGCAGGAAAAUGA